GACGAACGCUGGCGGCGUGCUUAACACAUGCAAGUCGAACGGGAGUAUUGAAGAAGCUUGCUUUAGAGAUACUUUAGUGGCGGACGGGUGAGUAACGCGUGAGGAGCUGUCCUAUGCAGGGGGACAACAGCUGGAAACGGCUGCUAAUACCCCAUAAGCCGAGAGGUAAAAGGAUCAAUCCGGCAGAGGAGGUACUCGCGUCCUAUCAGCUAGUAGGUGAGGUAACGGCUCACCUAGGCGAAGACGGGUAGCCGGCCUGAGAGGGCGAACGGCCACACUGGAACUGAGAUACGGUCCAGACUCCUACGGGAGGCAGCAGUGGGGAAUAUUGGGCAAUGGGGGAAACCCUGACCCAGCGACGCCGCGUGGGUGAAGAAAUCCUUCGGGAUGUAAAGCCCUGUUGUACGGGAAGAGCGGAAGACGGUACCAUACGAGGAAGCCCCGGCAAACUACGUG
rnacentral:rRNA from 1 species